GAACGCUGGCGGUAGGCCUAACACAUGCAAGUCGAACGGCAGCACAGUAAGAGCUUGCUCUUACGGGUGGCGAGUGGCGGGCGGGUGAGGAAUACAUCGGAAUCUACUUUUUCGUGGGGGAUAACGUAGGGAAACUUACGCUAAUACCGCAUACGACCUACGGGUGAAAGCAGGGGAUCUUCGGACCUUGCGCGAUUGAAUGAGCCGAUGUCGGAUUAGCUAGUUGGCGGGGUAAAGGCCCACCAAGGCGACGAUCCGUAGCUGGUCUGAGAGGAUGAUCAGCCACACUGGAACUGAGACACGGUCCAGACUCCUACGGGAGGCAGCAGUGGGGAAUAUUGGACAAUGGGCGCAAGCCUGAUCCAGCCAUACCGCGUGGGUGAAGAAGGCCUUCGGGUUGUAAAGCCCUUUUGUUGGGAAAGAAAAGCAGCAGGUUAAUACCCCGCUGUUCUGACGGUACCCAAAGAAUAAGCACCGGCUAACUUCGUG
rnacentral:rRNA from 1 species